rnacentral:tRNA from 1 species
GAGUGGCUCAGUUGGUAGAGCAGCUGAUUCGUAAUCAGCAGGUCGUGGGUUCGAGUCCCAUCUCU